rnacentral:rRNA from 1 species
GAGAUUCGGAAGUGCUCGCAAGAGAACCGGAACACAGGUGCUGCAUGGCUGUCGUCAGCUCGUGUCGUGAGAUGUUGGGUUAAGUCCCGCAACGAGCGCAACCCUUGUCAUUAGUUGCUACGAAAGGGCACUCUAAUGAGACUGCCGGUGACAAACCGGAGGAAGGUGGGGAUGACGUCAAGUCCUCAUGGCCCUUAUGGGUAGGGCUUCACACGUCAUACAAUGGUCGGGACAGAGGGUCGCCAACCCGCGAGGGGGAGCCAAUCCCAGAAACCCGAUCGUAGUCCGGAUCGCAGUCUGCAACUCGACUGCGUGAAGUCGGAAUCGCUAGUAAUCGCGGAUCAGCAUGUCGCGGUGAAUACGUUCCCGGGUCU